rnacentral:snRNA from 1 species
AGCUUUGCACAGUGGCAGUAUUGCAGCCAAUGAGGUUUAUCCAAAGUGCGAUAAUUGCUAAUUCAAAACUUUUCCCAAUACCUCGCCAUGACGACUUGAAAUAUAGUUGGCAUUGGCAAUUUUUGAGUCUCUACGGAGA